rnacentral:lncRNA from 1 species
GUCGUGGUGGCCUAGUGGGCAAAGAACCAACCUCUCGAGUAUGAGGGCGCGGGUUCGAUUCCAGGCCAGGCAAGUACCAAUGCAACUUUUCUAAGUUUGUAUGUACUUUCUAAGUAUAUCUUAGACACCAAUGACUGUGUUUCGGAUGGCACGUUAAACUGUAGGUCCCGGCUGUCAUUGAACAUCCUUGGCAGUCGUUACGGGUAGUCAGAAGCCAGUAAGUCUGACACCAGUCUAACCAAGGGGUAUUGGGUUGCCCGGGUAACUGGGUUGAGGGGGUCAGAUAGGGCAGUCGCUCCUUGUAAAGCACUGGUACUCAGCUACAUCCGGUUAGACUGGAAGCCGACCCCAACGUAGUUUGGGAAAAA